CUUUAAUUAAAAGGCCUGGAGCAAAAGUUCUUUGCUCCUGCAGGCUGGCAAGUGGAAAGGGAAAUUCACUUUAUUUUCAGUUCCAUGUGGUUUUAGAAUCUUGUUUUUCAUGUGUGGAGUUAUGUCCAGGACACUGGCGUGGGGAUUUGGUGCCAGCUUCUCCAGUGUAAGAUGCACAAUAGGUGCAAGAAGGGCCUUCAAUUCCAUGCCCUGAUGAAAGCUUUCUUCACUCUUGGAAAGAUCUUGGAUAUCCUUCUGAAGCUCCAGACAGGUUCAACUUUCAAACUUAGCCCUAUCUUUUCCAGAAUGGAUUCUAUAACACACUAAAUAUCUUACUGAAGAAAGAAAGUGCUACAAUAAUCAGAAGUAGAUAAAGCUCAAACCAAACAUCUUUCUUCACUUGCAGUACUAGCCUGACACCUUAGGGACCUCUUUCAUAGGCACAGAUACAUCUGUCAGUCUCUUCUGGCUAACACCUCCGCACAACCAGAUGUGUUUAGCUCUUUGGCUUGCUGUCCUCUGACUUCCAGCCUUGAUCCCUGGAGUGACAUUUGGGAAAGAAUGACUCCCCCAGCCACCUUUUCCCCAGUCUCCUUCUAGCUUCCAGUCUGCCUUGCAGCACCUUCCUUUGCGGCAUGUAAUUCCUGGAAGUCUGUACUCCUUGGUUAUGUUCUAAGAUGUUGGAGUUGGACGGAUCCUGGCCUGUGGAAUUCAGUGGUAAACAUUCUCAGGAAAGGCUUACUGUCUGUCACAAUAAUUUGCUAAUCUGUUUAUAGCUGGGAUUCUUACUAAAUGAAAUCAGUCCCCCACAUAGCCUUUCCAUCCAAAUAUCUCCAAGAAACUGAGUUGGUGCCUUUGAUGACAUCACUUUGCUUGCUGCAGCUUAACAACAUUGAGCAAUAAGCCUCUGGGAUUUUUCCUACUUUGGAGUUCACAAGGUGUAAGAACAAUUAAAAGGGUUCUUACAUCCCCUCUUGAUACUACAAGGGAAGCCUGAAUUGAAGAUUGUUCAAGAUUCUCUACUGGAAAGUUGUUCGUAGUACAUGUUGGCAGGCAGUGUGAAUUGGAGCCAAAGCCAUGUUUAUUGAGUACAUUUUCAACUUCAGCGAGUUAUGUCAUUAAAGGGACAGUGUUAUGUGCUUAAAAUGAUUGUGCUAUUUCUGUUAUCCGUGUUACAAGUUUAUGAGCACUCUGCAGCUAGAGAGCUUAUGGGUUUCAUUUAUGCUAUAACUUUGUGUCUCUUCCCCCUGCUGUGAAAGGAGACUGCACUGAACGUGUUCAGACCCACCUGCCCUUUCCAUCCUCAUACGUUGCCAGUAUAUGCCUACGUAGCAAAGCGAAACCUAAUUGUUCUCUAAACAAGAAUAACUUUCAAGUAAGCUUCAAACUGGGUGGCAUGAGUGCUAACUACUAUUAAAAUACGUGACAAAUUUUAGUACUGCUACCACAUUGUGUAACUGUAGACUCCAGUAGGCUCUUAAAGCUCACCUCAACUCCUCCUUACUGCAGCCAUUGUCUGUGCUGCUCAGCAGGUCACACCUGUGUUUUGCUGUGCAGGUGUAGCCCAAGAAUACAUCAGUUUGCAUGAACAGUUAGUUGCCUUUUCAGAGAGAUCGUAUUGCUUCAGAGCCAAAGAUCACAGUUGUUCAAGGGCUAAGCUGGAAAUCUUUAUAAAGCAGAUGAUGCUAGAGAUCUCAGAAGAGUUCUGUAACUGUCAAAAUGGGGUUUUCUAGUAUUUGCUCUAGAAAAUUUUGCAAAGGUUCUUU